rnacentral:misc_RNA from 1 species
AGCAGGACACCAUUUUGUCUUUCUAUUGUCCUCAAUAUAGGAUCUAAGAAGGUAACGAUAGUACUUCUCCUUAUCUUCACCAGAUGUCAAUGUAUCAAUCAUAUCUUGACCAAUGGCGACAUCGCAUGAUGGGUCAGGACAUCGCAGCGUCAAGCAUCCAGGGCCAUCGUUGAUGGAUGUGGUAAUGUAAGCUUUCCAGCAAGAAGUACAAAAGGGAUGACCGCACCCGAGGGAUAUUAUGUCAGCAGGAAGGAAGUUGUCAAAGCAAAUCCCACACACCACAUCUAUAACUCUUGAAAGAGAGACAACAGGCUUCUCCAACAAGCCGGCAGACUUGCGCACUCUUUCUUCAUCAGCAAACCACUCCUCAUGCACCUUGUUCACACUCCAGUUAUAACGUCGAAGUAAUAUACAGGCAGCUUCUCUUGAUAUGGAGAGGAGAGUAGAAAUUGUCGUCAUAUCCUCCUCCUGUCGCUGACGUAUAUCUUCUUCUUUCAAGACAGUAUAAUUUUUCUGCAUACGACUAACAGCUUGUUCAUCGGAAUCAUCGGUUUCAUUACCCAUGAAAUCAUAAUCAGCAACAUCAGCAUCGCUAUCUGCCGCAUCACCGUCACUGUAGAAAUCCUCAUCUACCGACUCCAUAUCAUUAGCAUCGUGCAUAUCAUCUUCUGAAUCCAUCAAGUAGAGAUUAUCAAUCACCAAAACUACAGCUGAAAAUUGUUGCUUGAAACCCUAAAAGGCCAA